rnacentral:rRNA from 1 species
UACGUAGGGUGCAAGCGUUGUCCGGAAUUAUUGGGCGUAAAGAGCGUGUAGGCGGCCCGAUUAGUCCGCUGUGAAAGUCCAGGGCUCAACCUGUGAAUGCCGCUGGAAACUGUCUGGCUUGAGUCCGGGAGGGGCGAGUGGAAGUUCCUGGUGUAGCGGUGAAAUGCGCAGAUAUCAGGAGGAACACCAAUGGCGAAAGCAGCUCUCUGGGACGGUACUGACGCUGAGACGCGAAAGCGUGGGGAGCGAACAGG